rnacentral:rRNA from 1 species
AUUCCAGCUCCAAUAGCGAAUACUAAUUCUGCUGCAGUUAAAAAGCUCGUAGUUGAAUUUCUGGUAGGGUUGACCUGGCGUUUGGAUGAAUGCCCAUUUAGCUGUGCGUCGGCCCAGCCAUCCUCCCCUUUUUCGGAAGGGGUCGUUCACUGUAAUCAAAUCAGAGUGUUCAAAGCAGGUCGUAGACCGGAAUGUUUAUUAUGGGAUGAUAAGAUAGGACUUGGGUGCUAUUUUGUUGGUUUGCACACUUGAGUAAUGAUUAAAAGGAACAGGUGGAGAUAUUCGUAUUUAGGAGCUAGAGGUGAAAUUCUUGGAUUUCCGAAAGACGAACUACUGCGAAGGCAUUUAUCAAAAAUGUUUUCAUCG